AAUGUGCAAUACCAACAUGUCUGUGUCUACCGAGGGUGCUGCAAGCACCUCACAGAUUCCAGCUUCGGAACAAGAGACUCUGACUCUGGCACAUCACUGAGAGAGAGCAGAUGUCAGCCUGAAGGUGGGAGUGACCUGAAGGACCCUGUGUAAGCGCCACCAGAAGAGAAACCUUCAUCUUCUGAUUUAGUUUCUAGACCGUCUACCUCAUCUAGAAGGAGAUCCAUUAGUGAGACAGAAGAGAACACAGGUGAGCUACCUGGUGAACGGCACCGGAAGCGCCGCAGGUCCCUGUCCUUUGAUCCGAGCCUGGGUCUGUGUGAGCUGAGGGAGAUAUGCUGUGACNGUGGCGGUGGCAGCAGCAGUAGCAGCAGCAGCAGCAGCAGCGAGUCCACAGAGACGCCCUCGCAUCAGGAUCUUGACGAUGGCGUAAGUGAGCAUUCUGGUGAUUGCCUGGAUCAGGAUUCAGUUUCUGAUCAGUUUAGUGUGGAAUUUGAAGUUGAGUCUCNCGACUCGGAAGAUUACAGCCUGAGUGACGAAGGGCACGAGCUCUCAGACGAGGAUGAUGAGGUCUAUCGGGUCACAGUCUAUCAGACAGGAGAGAGCGAUACAGACUCUUUUGAGGGAGAUCCUGAGAUUUCCUUAGCUGACUAUUGGAAAUGUACCUCAUGCAGUGAAAUGAAUCCUCCCCUUCCAUCACACUGCAAAAGGUGCUGGACCCUUCGUGAGAACUGGCUUCCAGAAGAUAAGGGGAAAGAGAAAGUGGAAAUCUCUGAAAAAGCCAAACUGGAAAACUCAGCUCAGGCAGAAGAAGGCUUGGAUGUGCCUGAUGGCAAAAAAGUCAGAAUGUUGGACCUUCCUCCCCACAAGGUGAUUGUCACCAAGGAGGCGAAGACUCUGAGGAACAUUGAUCCCACCAGCCCAAUGCAGUGUACACAGAGAGUCCUCCACCCAUCCCACCAGCCCAAUGCAGUGUACACAAGAGAGUCCUCCAGAGCAGACCACUACGUUAAGAGAGAAAGCACCCCACCAGCCUAA